CUCACACACAGCACCCCAGACACACACUGCACCCCCAGAUACACACAGCCAACUCACACACAGCACCCCAGACACACACACACACACACACAGCACCCCAGAUACACACAGCACCCCAGACACACACACACAGCACCCCAGACACACACACACACAGCACCCCCAGACACACACACACAGCACCCCCAGACACACUCAGCACACCGAGAGAC